rnacentral:misc_RNA from 1 species
GUUGGAGGCUUGGGGCUAGUCAAUUCUUUUACUUUUGGUUAAAUUUUUAAGUGAAAUGACCAUUAAAAUCUAAAUCAUUCAUUUUCUGUAAAUAUUUUUGAUAAUUACAAUUAGAUAGAUAAAAUAUUUUCUGUAUUUAAAUUUUACGUAAUUUUCAUUAUAUCAUAUAAAUAAAAUAAAAUACGUGGAGAUGCAAAGAUAAAU